GAAAGUACUUGGUUCAGCAGCUCCUUCAUAUACUAAAAUUAAACAAUACAAAGAAGGUUAGCGGUUAGCAUGGCCACUGUGCAAGGAUAGCACACACAUUUAGGACGCAUUCUAUUUUUUU
rnacentral:snRNA from 1 species